CCACUUUCCAGUUGUUGGUGAACACAGUAUGUUUUUCUUUCAUAUCACUACUAGUGUAUAUUCUGUAAACACAUAAAUAACACAAGAGGUCCAAAAUGUAAUUCACCUGCAUGUAUAAAACUCUUUAAUUCAUGAAUAAAAAAUAUUGAAUGUACAUUAAUAUUAAUAAAUAACUCCACUCUGUUCCUCAGUGAACUUUCUGGUCAAGAGUUCUGAGUUAACAUUUAUCAGUAAUCAACAAUAAAUAAUGAACUGCUUUCAUAUGAAUUCAUGUUAAGUGUUGCAGUUCUUCACUCUGACCACUGGAGGGCGCUCUUCAUUGAACUGAACUCUAUUAUAUUAUUAGAUUUUAAUUCUUACAUUGAUCUUUUACAGAGAAACAUAAACAAUUACAUACAACAUGUUCGACAUGAAUUUCUGUGAAAGGUGAGGAAGUCUGCUAAAUGUUCAAAAUAUAUCAGCUGGAAGAUUGUAAUUGAAUUUUUACAUUUGGUGCAACAUAGCAGAAGAUUAAUAAGGAUAUAAAUAAAUAUAUAAUUAAAUAUUCAUCUCUUUCACCUACUUAAGUUACUCCGGUUAGUUCAGAAUGAAAAAAAUGCUUUACACUAAAUCAGGAAAGCUGUAAACAUAUUCCUGAAUGACGCCUACCCAGACAUAUCAAUCAUUUAAUAGCUAUAAUAUAAAAUAAUGUAUAUAUAUUUUCUAACGUGUGUCUGUAUUUCAUUAUCCUCCACUGAUGUCCUGUUGGAGGAAGAGGAUCCUCCUGGAGCCCCAGUCUGGAUCAGGAGGACCCACCAGAGUUCAGCACUGAUCCAUUGAAACCUGUGGUCCCUGUAGUUCUGCUCUUUAUGGAGGACUGCUGCUGACACGCUCUGUGGGAACUAUAGAAGAGUCUUCAGAAAUGAAGGAAAUUGUGGGUCCAGAAUAAACUCCUCUAACCCAAAUCCCAUCGCUCCAGAGCCCCGGACCCUCAAACACACACUGCUGUAACCAUCUUCCACUGUGAUGCUGUGGUUCUGCCAGAUGCCGGUUUGGACCACCAGCGGACCAGUUGGGGUUUUCCACAAAGAAGACUUCCUUGUGGGAAAACCCCAACCGGUUGGAGGCAGGGGGAGAGAGAGGUGCCCUGUUGCCAGUGUUAUGCAUGUUAAUGUUGAAUACAAUGAUUUUAAAAUCCAUAACCACCUGCUUUUACCUCUCUGGAAACCCGGGAGGGGACACGGCCCCCUCCUCUCCCUCUGCAGCGGGGUGAGGCUCCAGGAACCGGGCACCGAGCGAGCCUCGAACCAGACACUUCUGCAUUCUGGCCGCUCCCACGCACACUGCGCCACCAUGCUCCCUUCACACUAGAACAUCUUCUCCGGGCGCUUUAAUCUUUUUACUUUGGCUGCUGGAGCACAAAACACACUGAGCCUCAUAAGAGAAUCAAACACACAACCUCUGGUCUCCUGACCACUCUUCUAACCCUCAGCACUGUUUGAUCUGAGACACUUUAUCUAUAUUUCUAACAGCUUUUCACUUGUUUCUUUGAACAUUGGACUCUAAAAUGCACAGUUGAGCGAGGCUCCAACUCACAUCCUCAAAUCUUGUGUUCAGACAAUCAUUUGUUUAUUCACUGAGCUACACAUGAGGACGGUAGAGUCCACGUUAGUUGUUGCUUUUCUUUACAUCUUUGAGGAGAAAACACAGAAAACUGUCAUUAGAGGACAACCUGGGUUCAAUCCCUCCAUCCUACAGCCUAAGAGCUCAGCACCUUAUCUCACUGAGCUACACCUGAGGAGUGGAAGUUGCUGCUUGGUAGUUGUAUUUAUUGUUCACAUUAAUGAGGAGAAACCUUUAAAAGUCUCAGGAUGCAUAAGCUGGAUUUGAACCUUCCACCUCUGGUCUCAACCACAUCAGUUACUUAUCUUCCUGAGCUAUUCCUCCUGAUGGCUUUUGGUUUUUUUGUCUUUCUUUUACUUUUACUGCAUUUUAUUUAUAUUUUAAAUUGGAUAGAAGUCAGAUCUACAACCUGGAGGGUUAUAUGAGCUACAACAGAGCUCCUUGUGUCCCAGGUACAACAGUCCUGCUUCCCUGCACAUUUAUUAGUACUUUGGAAAAUAUCCCUCCCUGCAGAGAUAGCUCAGUGAGAUAAGCAGCUGAUGAUGAUCUCUGAGGUGGAAGGUUCAAAUCCAAGCACACCUCUUUCAGUUUUCUCUUCAGCAACAUGAACAAUAAAUACAACAACAAACCAACAACUUCCAACCCUCAGGUGUAGCUCAGUGAGAUAAGGUUCUGCUAUCUGAUCCUUUAAAGGUGGAGGGAUCUAAUCCAGUUUGUCCUCUAUUGACAGUUUCUGAGUAAUUGUAAAACCAUUGGGGGGGCGUGUCCCCUUCCUAAGACCGAAGAGACAUCGUACAUUGCUACUAUAUUAAGAUGAUUCCUCUGACAAUAACUUUCAUCUUGUUUUCAGUCAGUUGGCUGUUUGUCACUCCUCAUUAACCUGAUUGAGUCCACCUGAUCACUCCUUAUUUAAAGGCCGCUCUCUUUCGUUCACUCGUUCACCUGCAGUUCUGGUAAGAGGAGUUGAUCUUAUGCUUUGUUCCUGUGUCCAUUUUAGUUCCACUGAAAACUUUAUUUAUCCUUAAGAUUAACCAAUUCUUUUGUUAUUGUUUGUCUUCUUUCAGAGUCAACAUCUGUUUUCUUUGACUCCCAGCAUGCAACACUUUGAACUAAUGCUUUAACAAAGAACUUUAUUUCUAAAAUAAUAAUCUGUUUUCUUUCAGAGUAACUUCCCCAGGUGUCGGACCGCGUCCUCCUUCACCCCUCAAACACAAUAAAUCAUCAGAACUUGGAGUUGUGUUCAUUUAAUCCUUGGUGCACACAUUCAAAGCAACCUCAGGAGAGAACAGAGAAUUAUGGAUUUGGAUUUUAGACAAAAUACACACUCCACUUUGUUUAUAGUCAAACUGUACAGACAUUAGAUAGUGAGUUGAGAUUCUGGAUAAUUCUCUUAUUCUCAUAAAUAUUUAUUAUUCAUCUAACCAUCUAACAUCCCCAUUGAGUCUGACUGAUCAGUCCUUAUUUAAAGUGUGCUCUCUCUUCUGAUACUAAUUUUAAUUUUAUUCUAAUUUAAUCUUAUUAAUAAACUUUAAGCUAAUGCUUUAACUGAGAACUUUAUUUAUCCUUGUUUAACAUGAACAAGAUGAAUGUGUGUCCUCCUGCUAACUCCUAAAGUUAAACACUUUUGAUGACAUUGGGAACAUUGUUUGGGAAAAUAAACUUUUUUUUAACGCGUUGA